rnacentral:rRNA from 1 species
UACAGAGGUGGCAAGCGUUGUUCGGAAUUACUGGGCGUAAAGGGCGCGUAGGCGGCCUUCUUAGUCGGACGUGAAAUCCCCAGGCUCAACUUGGGAACUGCGUCCGAUACUGGAUGGCUUGAGUGCGGGAGAGGGAUGUGGAAUUCCAGGUGUAGCGGUGAAAUGCGUAGAUAUCUGGAGGAACACCGGUGGCGAAGGCGGCAUUCUGGACCGAAACUGACGCUGAGGCGCGAAAGCCAGGGGAGCAAACGGG